UGGGGAAUAUUGCGCAAUGGGCGAAAGCCUGACGCAGCGACGCCGCGUGAGGGAUGAAUGCCUUCGGGUUGUAAACCUCUUUCAGCGCCGAAGAAGCGAAAGUGACGGUAGGCGCAGAAGAAGCACCGGCUAACUACGUGCCAGCAGCCGCGGUAAUACGUAGGGUGCAAGCGUUGUCCGGAAUUAUUGGGCGUAAAGAGCUCGUAGGCGGUUUGUCGCGUCUGCUGUGAAAAUCCAGGGCUUAACCCUGGACCUGCAGUGGGUACGGGCAGACUAGAGUGUUGCAGGGGAGACUGGAAUUCCUGGUGUAGCGGUGAAAUGCGCAGAUAUCAGGAGGAACACCGGUGGCGAAGGCGGGUCUCUGGGCAACAACUGACGCUGAGGGGCGAAAGCGUGGGGAGCGAACAGGAUUAGAUACC
rnacentral:rRNA from 1 species